rnacentral:rRNA from 1 species
GUUUGAUCCAUGGCUCAGGACGAACGCUGGCGGCGUGCUUAACACAUGCAAGUCGAGCGGUAAGGCCCUUCGGGGUACACGAGCGGCGAACGGGUGAGUAACACGUGAGCAACCUGCCCCUGACUCCGGGAUAAGCGGUGGAAACGCCGUCUAAUACCGGAUAUGACCGGCCACCUCAUGGUGGCGGGUGGAAAGUUUUAUCGGUCAGGGAUGGGCUCGCGGCCUAUCAGCUUGUUGGUGGGGUAACGGCCUACCAAGGCGAUUACGGGUAGCCGGCCUGAGAGGGCGACCGGCCACACUGGGACUGAGACACGGCCCAGACUCCUGCGGGAGGCAGCAGUGGGGAAUAUUGCACAAUGGGCGAAAGCCUGAUGCAGCGACGCCGCGUGGGGGAUGACGGCCUUCGGGUUGUAAACUCUCUUUUACCACCAACGCAGGCUCCGGGUUUUCUCGGGGUUGACGGUAGGUGGGGAAUAAGGACCGGCUAACUACGUGCCAGCAGCCGCGGUAAUACGUAGGGUCCGAGCGUUGUCCGGAAUUAUUGGGCGUAAAGAGCUCGUAGGCGGCGUGUCGCGUCUGCUGUGAAAGACCGGGGCUUAACUCCGGUUCUGCAGUGGAUACGGGCAUGCUAGAGGUAGGUAGGGGAGACUGGAAUUCCUGGUGUAGCGGUGAAAUGCGCAGAUAUCAGGAGGAACACCGGUGGCGAAGGCGGGUCUCUGGGCCUUACCUGACGCUGAGGAGCGAAAGCAUGGGGAGCGAACAGGAUUAGAUACCCUGGUAGUCCAUGCCGUAAACGUUGGGCGCUAGGUGUGGGGACUUUCCACGGUUUCCGCGCCGUAGCUAACGCAUUAAGCGCCCCGCCUGGGGAGUACGGCCGCAAGGCUAAAACUCAAAGGAAUUGACGGGGGCCCGCACAAGCGGCGGAGCAUGUUGCUUAAUUCGACGCAACGCGAAGAACCUUACCAAGGUUUGACAUCACCCGUGGACCUGUAGAGAUACAGGGUCAUUUAGUUGGUGGGUGACAGGUGGUGCAUGGCUGUCGUCAGCUCGUGUCGUGAGAUGUUGGGUUAAGUCCCGCAACGAGCGCAACCCUUGUUCUAUGUUGCC